UCCAGCUCCUGACCGCGAGUGAUCUGCCCGC
rnacentral:piRNA from 1 species